UACUAUUUUAUAGCAAUUUAAAAAAAUAAAUUAGUAAAUUGUUUAACUUUUUUAUUGAAAAACCUCUCAAAACAGAUACAUUAAUUCUAUUUUGAAAAUUAGUCUAUACCGUUUGAAUUUUUUUUCUCUCAAAUUGCCUCCUUUUCUAGCAAAGAAAAUCUACAUUUUUAGAAAAACAAACGCCACGAAUUUAUUUUCUAAAGGAAAUUUCCUUCAAUUUUUUUGUUUUAAUAAAGUUUUGUAAAUUUUUAAACGGGGACCGUUGGAAGUCGAAGACGGCCUCCAUCCCAGAGGCAGUGUAGAGCUUUCAGAAGUAAAAAAUGGUUACUUUUAUUAUGAAACAUUUCUUUUUGAUUUUAAUCGUUACGUCUGACCUGCUUAAUGCGAUGUAGCUUUGGAUACGCAAUCGGAGUUGAUAAACAUUAAAGUGCGCUGGCCGUUGGUACGGUGAAAUUUGACAGGAGAGGAAUACAUUAUCUCAAUUGGCUCUACAAUGCUCUGCUUCAAUCAAGAUUUGUCAACUUAAUAGUUUUGUGCCCAGCAAAUGAUUGAACUUGUGUCCGCUUUUUUAUCGUACAGAUUGUGUCAAGAUUGAUGAUGGAAGGAAACAGCAUACUCCAAUAAAAACUAUUUAAAAAUAAACUUAUAUUAUGCUUCAGAA